rnacentral:rRNA from 1 species
CUACAGAGGGUGCGAGCGUUAAUCGGAAUUACUGGGCGUAAAGCGCGCGUAGGCGGCUUAUUAAGUCAGAUGUGAAAUCCCCGGGCUCAACCUGGGAACUGCAUCUGAUACUGGUAAGCUAGAGUUUGGGAGAGGGAAGUAGAAUUUCAGGUGUAGCGGUGAAAUGCAUAGAGAUCUGAAGGAAUACCAGUGGCGAAGGCGACUUCCUGGCCUAAAACUGACGCUGAGGUGCGAAAGCGUGGGUAGCAAACGGGAUUAGAAACCCUGGUAGUCC